rnacentral:rRNA from 1 species
UCCUACGGGAGGCAGCAGUGGGGGAUAUUGCACAAUGGGGGGAACCCUGAUGCAGCGACGCCGCGUGGGUGAAGAAGCGCCUCGGCGCGUAAAGCCCUGUCAGCAGGGAAGAAAAUGACGGUACCUGAAGAAGAAGUCCCGGCUAACUACGUGCCAGCAGCCGCGGUAAUACGUAGGGGGCGAGCGUUAUCCGGAAUGAUUGGGCGUAAAAGGUGCGCAGGCGGGCCUGCAAGGCUGGAGUGAAACGC